AGGUGGAAACGGACAGAGCUGGCGUAUCUGGCCUGUAUUCAGCCAAGUUGCCUUUGACUUCAGGUGAUUGCUUUCCAGACUGGGACAGUUGCUUGUUUGUUGGUGGUCGAUUGGUGCAUUUGCAGGUGGAGUGCGCUGAGGAGUUUGGUGCAGCGGCAUGAACUUUAUUCUGAGGCCAUCCCGUUCACGCGGUGUUGGUACCCGUUUGGAGGUAGUGCUGUUUGUGCUAAGCGUUGUUGAGCAUAGGUCUCGGGCUCAGCUGGGUGCAAAGCUGGCAGUUGGUUACGGUCGCAUGCGACACGUGCCAGCGGUUGGUUUGGUCUUAGUUGAGUUCACUUGUGUUUGCCCUCGGUGUAAAAGCCGGUCAUCUGUCCGACCCGUCUUGAAACACGGACCAAGGAGUUUAGCGUGUGCGCGAGUCAUUGAGUGUUUAAAACUUAAGGGCGUAAUGAAAGUGAAGGCUUCCUCGUGGAGCUGAUGUGCGAUCCGGUGUACUUCGGUACAUCGGCGCAGCAUGGUCCCGUCCCGAUCGCUUGCGAUGGGGCGGAGAUAGAGCGUACGCGCUGAGACCCGAAAGAUGGUGAACUAUUCCUGAGCAGGAUGAAGCCAGAGGAAACUCUGGUGGAAGUCCGAAGCGAUUCUGACGUGCAAAUCGAUCGUCUGACUUG
rnacentral:rRNA from 1 species